rnacentral:rRNA from 1 species
UACGUAGGUGGCAAGCGUUGUCCGGAAUUAUUGGGCGUAAAGCGCGUGCAGGCGGUCCUUUAAGUCUGAUGUGAAAGCCCACGGCUCAACCGUGGAGGGUCAUUGGAAACUGGGGGACUUGAGUGCAGAAGAGGAGAGUGGAAUUCCACGUGUAGCGGUGAAAUGCGUAGAGAUGUGGAGGAACACCAGUGGCGAAGGCGACUCUCUGGUCUGUAACUGACGCUGAGGCGCGAAAGCGUGGGGAGCAAACAGG